UUUAAACCCAUUCUAUGCCAACCUUCUGUUAUUUUUCAGUAGUAGUGAAUUUUUUUAGCCAGGCUAGCUAACUGUUGGCUAUUUCUGAUCUACAGUUAGUCUCUUUGGUGCCUAAUAGGCUCAAUCUUAUGUCACCUUGCUACUUAUUUGUGGCUAGCUAGCUCGCUUUGAGAUAUGUGUUUACUAUAUGUUGUUUUCUUAUAUAGCUCUUAGCUAAUUGCUACAUAGCUGACACCUUACACUUACACUGGGUACAGAUAUGGAUCUCUGGUGAAGACAUCUUAUCUUUCCACCUUCUCUCCACCACAGGUUCGACCAGUCGGCUACGACGGGAACAACCCCACAUCGGUGGCUGAGUGGCUGGAGUCUCUGGAGCUCGGAGAUUACACGAAGUCGUUCCUUAUCAACGGCUACACAUCCAUGGAGCUCGUCAAGAAGAUAUGGGAGAUCGAGCUCAUCAACGUUUUAAAGAUCAGCCUCAUCGGCCACAGAAAACGGAUUCUGGCCUCGUUGGGCGACAGAUUACACGAAGACACCCCUCAGAAACCUCCGCGGGCCAUCUCCCUCAGGGAGCCGGGCGGGAACCACACUCCUCCCCAGCUCAGCCCGUCGGUGGGACAGGCAGCGGACACGGCGGGGGUCCC